UACGUAGGGUGCGAGCGUUAAUCGGAAUUACUGGGCGUAAAGCGUGCGCAGGCGGUUUUGUAAGCCAGAUGUGAAAUCCCCGGGCUUAACCUGGGAAUGGCAUUUGGGACUGCAAGGCUGGAGUUUGGCAGAGGAGACUGGAAUUCCUGGUGUAGCAGUGAAAUGCGUAGAUAUCGGGAGGAACACCAGUGGCGAAGGCGACUUCCUGGCCUGUUCUUGACGCUGAGGCGCGAAAGCUAGGGGAGCAAACGGG
rnacentral:rRNA from 1 species